AGAGACGUUUGCAUUCAGCGAAGUGGCCGAGGAGCCAGGGCUUGAUUGGUCGGUCGCCGCAGUAGAGGAGUGGCGGAGGGUCAAGGAGAGGAGCUCAAGGCGGCGUACAUGAUUCUCCCACUCCUCAGUUACUCCUGACAACAACCCUGUGAGAAUUCAACCGCCGAGAACGUGCUCUUUUCAGCAAGAAAUGCAGGGAAUGCAAUGCUGCAGAAUCCGUCUCCUGUCAGCUCCUUCUCAGAAUCAGCUGUUAAACAGACGACAUGCUCCAAAAAAGAAACAGGCUGCCUGAAGCAGCUUUAUUCC